UCUUAAGAGUGUGUGGCCUCUGGCUGGAAAAAGAGAAAGGUUGUCUGCCCUUGUAUUAAAAGCAGAAAAUGUUGGACUGAUCGCAAAUCGAUGUGCACCCCCUUGAUGAUCUUCCUGGAAUAGCUGACUGAAUGAUUCCAGAAACUUGACCUGAGUAGCAGGGUAAGGAAGAUAAAAGAUACAAGACAACAUGAAAGAGCCAGGAGGCACCCAUCCUUGCUCCUCUUCCAUCAACAAAUCAAAAUAUUUUUAUGCUUCCAG
rnacentral:lncRNA from 11 species